AUUGAACGCUGGCGGCAGGCCUAACACAUGCAAGUCGAACGAGUGGCGGACGGGUGAGUAAUGUCUGGGAAACUGCCCGAUGGCGGGGGAUAACUACUGGAAACGGUAGCUAAUACCGCAUACCAUCGGAUUUGCCCAGUUUGGAUUAGCUCGUAGGUGGGGUAACGGCUCACCUAGGCGACGAUCCCUAGCUGGUCUGAGAGGCUGACCAGCCACACUGGAACUGAGACACGGGCCAGACUCCUACGGGAGGCAGCAGUGGGGAAUAUUGCACAAUGGGCGCAAGCCUGAUGCAGCCAGGCCGCGUGUAUGAAGAAGGCCUUCGGGUUGUAAAGUACUUUCAGCGAGGAGGCGUUACUCGCAGAAAAAGCACCGGCUAACUCCGUGCCAGCAGCCGCGGUAAUAC
rnacentral:rRNA from 1 species